GAUGAAGAACGCAGCGAAAUGCGAUAAGUAAUGUGAAUUGCAGAAUUCAGUGAAUCAUCGAAUCUUUGAACGCACAUUGCGCCCGCCAGUAUUCUGGCGGGCAUGCCUGUUCGAGCGUCAUUUCAACCAUCAAGCCCCCGGCUUGUGUUGGGGACCUGCGGCUGCCGCAGGCCCUGAAAACCAGUGGCGGGCCCGCUAGUCACUCCGAGCGUAGUAAUACAUCUCGCUCAGGGCGUGCUGCGGGUUCCGGCCGUUAAAAAAGCCUUAUUUACCCAAGGUUGACCUCGGAUCAGGUAGGAAGACCCGCUGAACUUAAGCAUAUCAAUAAGCGGAGGA
rnacentral:misc_RNA from 1 species